GAUUAAAGGGUCAAAGCUUAACCCUAAUUGAUAUUCAUCCAGUAAAUAUAUAGUACAUCAAGCAAACCUAAUUAAGGGAAAACCGUGAGUUUAGGAAACAAUCCUAAACAAUAGCAACCACUACUUUCCUAGAAUAUAUCAUAAUAUCUACUUUCCUAGAAUAUAUCAUAAUAUCUCAACAUAUAUCAUAAUAUCUACUUUCCUAGAAUAUAUCAUAAUAUCUCAACAC
rnacentral:lncRNA from 1 species